rfam:Thermosinus carboxydivorans Nor1 ctg50, whole genome shotgun sequence.
AUAUGCCUGGGAUGUUCGUUAGCCUUGAGUUAUGUUCAACCUACGGAAUGACAUCGGGAAUCCGAUGGCGUGUGGCUGCCAAGCCUCCUUUGAGUGGAAGGCAAAAGCACGUCUUAGGAUGCCCACCUGCGAGAAGCGGGUUUCGAACAUAUUAAGGUGACGGCAUCGCGGGCUAAUU